GGAAGAGUCGUAACGGCCGACGUAGCAUUGCUGGGCGUCUUGCUAUCGAGACACAAAAUAGCAUAAAAGGGAAAACAAGUUGCAAAAAGUUUGUUUGGCUAUGGAUACACUCGACGAGGUUACGAUUGACACUCUAAAAGCUGCUAGUAUUGGAGAAGACUUACUAAGGUCACUCUCCAGGGAUGACAUCAAAGAUUUGUUUCCUGGUCCAGAAAACUUUCUGAGACGGCGGGCACUGUGGCUUCUUGUGAGUGGUGAACAGGUUCAGGCUUCUGUCAGUGAUGUGGACUCGACUAAAUCUUCAUAUACUGCAACCACCGGCCCUCCAGCAGAGGAACAAAACGUCUCAAUAUUUUUGACCAUGUCCAGCCCAGAGUACAUUGUCUAUACAGACAGUGAACUUGAGCAGGCACGUUCAUCCCAUUUUGAACAAAAACGUCUUGGGGCAACACAAACUGCACUAUCCAAGGAGCUCCUCUGCAGACUCAUAAGGAACACUAUGACCAACAUGAUCUCAAUUGCAAGAGCCCUACGGGACCCUAGGUACCCCAGCAGACAUGAGGUCGAUUCCAUGGCUAGGCGAUUGGUGGAGUACUACCCUAUGUUGAAGGACAACUCCUCAGGUGACAAGUGGGUAUGUAAACUUUCUGGUACAAUAUUUAUUCCAUGCAGUAGACUAUAGUUUUUGUUUCCAACAACUGUUGCAGGCACACAUCGCUAAGAAACUCAUG